UACAGAGGGUGCUAGCGUUGUUCGGAAUUACUGGGCGUAAAGGGCUCGUAGGCGGCCAACUAAGUCAUACGUGAAAUCCCCAGGCUCAACCUGGGAACUGCGUCUGAUACUGGUUGGCUUGAAUCCGGGAGAGGGAUGCAGAAUUCCAGGUGUAGCGGUGAAAUGCGUAGAUAUCUGGAGGAAUACCGGUGGCGAAGGCGGAUCUCUGGGCCUGUCCUGACGCUCAGGCGCGAAAGCUAGGGGAGCAAACAGG
rnacentral:rRNA from 1 species